rnacentral:rRNA from 1 species
AUUGAACGCUGGCGGCAUGCCUUACACAUGCAAGUCGAACGGUAACAGGUCUUCGGAUGCUGACGAGUGGCGAACGGGUGAGUAAUUCAUCGGAACGUGCCCGAGAGUGGGGGAUAACGAGGCGAAAGCUUUGCUAAUACCGCAUACGAUCUCAGGAUGAAAGCAGGGGACCGCAAGGCCUUGCGCUCACGGAGCGGCCGAUGGCAGAUUAGGUAGUUGGUGGGAUAAAAGCUUACCAAGCCGACGAUCUGUAGCUGGUCUGAGAGGACGACCAGCCACACUGGGACUGAGACACGGCCCAGACUCCUACGGGAGGCAGCAGUGGGGAAUUUUGGACAAUGGGCGCAAGCCUGAUCCAGCCAUGCCGCGUGCAGGAUGAAGGCCUUCGGGUUGUAAACUGCUUUUGUACGGAACGAAAAGACUUCUUCUAAUAAAGGGGGUCCAUGACGGUACCGUAAGAAUAAGCACCGGCUAACUACGUGCCAGCCGCCGCAGUAACAC